UUUCGUUCUACUCGACAAUUCCAAAAAUCAGUGCCAUUGGCUUUAGCUUUGCCCUUGAACUUGAAAUCUCGUGCCUUAUUCUUUCCUGGGGACUGGUGUUGGAUAUUGAACGGGCGGAGUUACCGCCGGGAUGAUGGAUGAAGGAGAUGAUGGCCUAAACUUGGCUGCGCGCAUUCUCAUUUUCGCGUGGCCUGCCACUAGUGUUUCGCAGAUUCACAAAGGGUGUCACAGGCAUAGCUGGAGGAAGAAAGGUUUUCUGGCUGAUUCCUCCGACCCCAAUCAAUCUUCAGAUCUAUGAGCAGUGGGUGUUGUCGGGUAAACAGCAGGAUAUAUUCCUGGGUGACAUGGUCGAGAAGUGUGCCCGCGUCGAAUUGAAACCAGGCUGGACUUUUGUCAUUCCUACUGGCUGGAUUCAUGCAGUUCACACUCCUGUGGAUUCGCUAGUGUUUGGUGGAAACUUUCUGCACAGUUUCAACAUAAGCGGUCAGCUUGCCGUGGCGGACAUUGAAGAAACUACAAGGUAUAUCAUCUCGUGACGACCACAUUUAAGUCUGAAUUUGAAGUGCGAAGAUGCUUCAGCAACCACAUCGUACUUUUCCAUUGCUUUCAUUGUGCUUCUACUGUGCAUGUGUGUAACUUGUGGGGUAUAUAUGUGAUGACAUUGUAUGCUGGCGACACGGUCAGAUUUUGUCCAUGCGUGUAACGUACACCUGCAUGUUAUGCAUUGAAAAGGAUCUGCCACUUGCGAUCCUGGGACAAGUAUCAGGUCAGCUUUGUCUUGUGUGGGCUGUACCAGAUUGCUGUUCACUUUUCCAUCUGUUGGAUAUGUGACUUUCUGCAAGUCUCUGGUGUGUGGUGGCCACUUCUUUGCUUGUCACUUUGUAUGAUAUUACAUUCUGUAUUCGCUGCUUCCAUGGCGUGGUCUGCAAACUGCAAUCCUUGGGCAAAUGUCAUGUUUGCUAUGUUGUGCUUUGGCCGUCAGCUUGUCUACACGUUGUAGUUGAAUUAUUUUGUUCCACAACUGACUUCCUUUUAAAAGUACGGUGGCCACUGCUUUGCAUGGCAUUUUA